rnacentral:misc_RNA from 1 species
UCCGAGUUGACCCCGGCAGUCUCCUAUGAGUCCCCACCAUUACGUGCUGGCAACAUAGGACGAGGGUUGCGCUCGUUGCGGGACUUAACCCAACAUCUCACGACACGAGCUGACGACAACCAUGCACCACCUGUGCACGGCCCUUACGGACCCCGCAUCUCUGCGAGAUUUCUGUGCAUGUCAAGACCUGGUAAGGUUCCUCGCGUUGCUUCGAAUUAAACCACAUGCUCCACCGCUUGUGCGGGCCCCCGUCAAUUCCUUUGAGUUUCAACCUUGCGGUCGUACUCCCCAGGCGGAGUGCUUAUUGCGUUAGCUGCGAUACAGAGAACUUAUAGCUCCCUACAUCUAGCACUCAUCGUUUACGGCAUGGACUAC